GACCCAGCAAGCUACGUGGGCCCCAUCGGUGAAGAUGCUAGUUGUGCUAGCGGUCAGUCAGCGUCUUGGGCGGGACGCAUCUGAUGAAGCUUUCAGCCUUUUCCGGUCAGGUUUCAUCACUGCAGCAUCAGUUGUACAGGCGGCGUGAUGGUUAUGCAGCACAGAGAGAAAGAUCUGUGUGACCAUCUGAAACCAAUUAUGGCGGCGCUGCAGCCACCCAGAAACUCGGUGACGGAUGGGGAUCUUGUAUUUAUAGCUGGGAGUGACGCGCGGCCAGGCCACUGCUUUAUGUCCUGGCAUCACAGGAUGAUACUGUUUCAUGGCUGGUUGGAGCCGAUGGGACACUGGGACCAGUGGGCCACGUUACAGGACCAUAAAGACCGUGUAGAAGGAAGACGACGUCACAUCAGGGUCUUCUCUACAACCACUCAAUCCUCUGUCGCAGUCGGAAGACGGAUGCGAGUCGACGGCUUUCCAGCCGUGUGUGGAACGGACGGAGGGUGCGACGGCGGCCUGUUCCAAACACCAGCGACAGUGAAGUGGCCGAGAAACGCUCGGAGGAAACAUCCCAACAAUCACACACUGCGGCACACUCACUUGCACAUGCACUCACGCCGCCCUAGAGGCUGCAGGCAACACCCAUUUUCAGACGCACAAACACAGACACGGUUGUGUCGUAAAGCGCGGAUACGCACCCACCACCUGCUUUUGUGGGCAAACACUAGUUACAUGUGCACAUGGUGAUAGCACACACGCACACACACGCACACUUCCCUGCAGGACACGCUACGCAGCUCAGGAAACAUUAGCAGCAAUAGCCAGGAAUGCUAAUUGAAACAAACAGCUCAUGGCUUUUUCAUUUCUGAGGUGGGAGCUGGGUGUAAUGGAGACUCCCGUGUGUGUGUGUGUGUGUGUGUGUGUGUGUGUGUGUGUGUGUGUGUGUGUGUGUGUGUGUGUGUGUGUGUGUGUGUGUGUGUGUGCGUGCGUGCGUGCGUGCGUGCGUGCGUGCGUGCGUGCGUGCGUGUGCGUGCGUGUGCGUGCGUGCGUGUGCUUCUUAAUGCCAGGGAUCUGGGAACCAUUGUGCACUAUUAUUGUCCUGCUUUUUCUCCAGUUUUACUUUCAAACACAAAACGAGAGCAAAUUGUUCUCCAUAAACACACAUCAGUGCUGACAGGAUCACCGUUUCAGGCCAAAGCAAACCUGAUCUCGUCUUCACUUUGCAAUUACAUGCAAACACACACUGUUCAACUUCAAUCAGAAUGUGUCUGGAAAGACUUCUCUUAAAGCAAAAUACAGAUUCAGCCUAGAGUUGCUGCCAUGAUUCGUUUUUUAUGGUAUCUACUGUAGAGGCAUUUUUUACACAGCAGGUCAAGGGUCAGCUAAUGUGUCCUUUGCUGAUAAAGUGAGUCUUAAUCGUGUUUUGUGUGUUUGGAACCCUCUCACCUGCACCAAAGGCGAAGAAGUAGGUCUG